rnacentral:rRNA from 1 species
UACGGGAGGCAGCAGUGGGGAAUAUUGCACAAUGGGCGCAAGCCUGAUGCAGCCAUGCCGCGUGUAUGAAGAAGGCCUUCGGGUUGUAAAGUACUUUCAGCGGGGAGGAAGGCGAUGCGGUUAAUAACCGCGUCGAUUGACGUUACCCGCAGAAGAAGCACCGGCUAACUCCGUGCCAGCAGCCGCGGUAAUACGGAGGGUGCAAGCGUUAAUCGGAAUUACUGGGCGUAAAGCGCACGCAGGCGGUCUGUUAAGUCAGAUGUGAAAUCCCCGGGCUUAACCUGGGAACUGCAUUUUGAAACUGGCAGGCUUGAGUCUGUAGAGGGGGUAGAAUUCCAGGUGUAGCGGUGAAAUGCGUAGAGAUCUGGAGGAAUACCGGUGCGAAGGCGGCCCCUGGACAAAGCUGACGCUCAGGU